AUGAGGGAUGAACAGCAAUGCCCUGAAUUCCAGCUGACCUUCUACAGAGAAGUGCUUGACUGCCAGAUAAGCAGAAUAAAAGCCAACACCAAACUGUCCAAUCAUGGAUAUGUCUGCACCAGCCUGAAGAGCCUCCAUGAAUGCUUUAGUGCCAGACUUGGCAAUGGUUCUCAAAUUAUUUAUGAGAUCAGCUUUGGUCAUACCAAUGCCUGUGUCCACCAGAAUCAGGGUGCGUUCCUAGGGGUUAGGGAAGAUGUCAAUUUUCAGCUCUUUACCACUGUCCAACUUGGAAGGGUCUGUCAGGCUUUCAUAGCGAAUCUUGUCCAAGGCAUCAGAAGCAUUACUGAUCAACUCUCGAAGAAAAAUUUCCUUGUUAGAAUAGAAAGUAUUGAUGAUGAGGGACCUGAGCUGGGAAAUUUCUGCCUGGAAGGCAAAGAGUUUAAUUAA
rnacentral:lncRNA from 1 species